AGGGGAUGGUGGUUCUCCUCAGAAAGUCCUCUGAGGAGCAGGGCUGCAGCCACAGGGUGACAGCUGGAGUUCCCCAUUCCAUUAAAAUGCCUUUUCACUGUCUGAAACAGAAACUCGGGCUGAAUGGUAAAAGGAUCAAAACCACCCCUGCCCUUUGCUGUUCUCCAGCAUGUUUGCUUUUAGUAUUCAGCCCAGCACUGACACAGAAUGGGAGGAUUUCCCAAAUGGCUUUGUUACAACAUUAAGCCUGGUAACCUACCCUGGGUCACUCCUGAGCAGAAAACAAGGAGCCUGAAAGAAAAACAUCGAUUUCCAAGGGCAGCUAGUUCCAAGGAUUGUUCCUGCACUGAAACAAAGCCCGUGAAAACACCAGUUGCGAGUCAUUCCCUAAGUUCCCGUUUCCACAGGGAAUGAUCUUGCCACAUCAGAGCUGCAGAAAGGUCACGCCGGAGUUACUUUCUCGCUGAUACUUUGCUGACAUUUCUCCAACCCAGAAGUAACGAGUGGCCACAGCUAUUGACAGCCACGAGGGUGCAAGUUGCAAAGUGUGGAGGAAGCUGAUAGUGCUCUUUCAGUUCCUGAGGAAUUCAGGCAGCUUAAAAAAGUUUUUGGACAUGAGCAAACACCAUCAAUAAGCUCGUGGAGAGCUGGCUG